UGGGGAAUAUUGGACAAUGGGCGCAAGCCUGAUCCAGCAAUGCCGCGUGUGUGAAGAAGGCCUGCGGGUUGUAAAGCACUUUCAGUGGGGAAGAAAAGCGUGGGGUGAAUACCCCUGCGUCUUGACGUUACUCACAGAAGAAGCACCGGCUAACUCCGUGCCAGCAGCCGCGGUAAUACGGAGGGUGCGAGCGUUAAUCGGAAUCACUGGGCGUAAAGCGCACGUAGGUGGCUUGGCCAGUCCGCUGUGAAAUCCCCGGGCUCAACCUGGGAAUGGCAGUGGAUACUACCGAGCUAGAGUCUGUGAGAGGGGGGUGGAAUUCCAGGUGUAGCGGUGAAAUGCGUAGAGAUCUGGAGGAACACCAGUGGCGAAGGCGGCCCCCUGGUACAAGACUGACGCUGAGGUGCGAAAGCGUGGGGAGCAAACA
rnacentral:rRNA from 1 species